rnacentral:lncRNA from 1 species
UGGCAUGGUGCUGAUUCAGUAGGGACGGGGGGUGUUGAUGUGAGGUGGGAUGGUGGAGAUGCCCUGGCGGGAGAGCUCCGCCAGCACGCUCUCGGUGGCCGGCGGUUUCAGGCCCAAUGGCAGUGGCAUCCACGGCUUGCUUAUUGCCUCCUUCACUACCCUGUCAAUUAACUCCUCUGCCUGUAUAAUGUAUAUCAAAAAACACAAUGAAUUCUAUGGAAUGAAAUUUUAGACCUACCACCAUCUCAAUUCCUGAACAGAUAUAUGGAGUUUACCGGAUAAAGGUCAAUAGGGCUCUGUGGUAUGCCAGUGUUGUAUAUUCCACUUCCAUUAUUAUGAUCAAACCCAGAUGGAUUCUGCAUUUUCCCAAGUGAUGAUUAAUUAUUAAUGACUAAUUAGAUGUAAAUGAAUAUGAAUUCUUUCUUCACUAUAGUCAUUAAUUAUCUGGGCAUACUCACUUGAGGAAAGGAAGAGCAUGGAGUAUGUGUUGGUGUCAUCACAGGGCAGCCCCAUGCAUCGGCAUUCAUCUGAAACGUGGAUGUUUAAAGCCUUCAAUCGACAUGUUUGUAGCAUAAAAUAACAACACUAUCAAAAUUUGAAGACAGACAAAACAUUACCCCUGGAUAAGGCUUCCAAAUCCAACUUUCUGCGGGCUGCCAUGUAUGAUAGCCAGGUGUGCUCCACAUCUGAGCAGGGUGGCUGCUGGGUUGGCCCCAUACAGGGUAGAGCUGAGCAGCUGGGAGGGUGUGACUGGAAUGAUAUGGAGGGAAGGCCAUGACAGGUUUCUGUGGAUAAUAAUUCCUCUGCAUUGGGUCUCUCUGAUGAGGCCAUCUUCUAUCAUCUUCCUUUGGCAGAAUGUGUCUCCGAUGCAUUCUGUAUUUCUGCUUGAAAGCACGAGCCCAUUCAUUAUAAUUAUCCAAGACUCAAAACAAGGAUUCAAUCAACACAUCAUAACAGGGUUCUGAAUUUUGGCUUGGAUAUCCAUUUCCAUCAUUUUGGCCAAACCCUAUUUCAAAAGUUUUGAAACACACUGAAUGAAUUUUAUGGAGUUUUAGACGGGCAAGUUUCCUACUGACCUGGAGAUGACUUGCUACAUUAUGCCUCGUCAAGCCUUCCACUUUCAUCAGCUCUAAUAUUCGAGAUGGAAUGGCUUGAUCCACACCCAGCUGCUCCACUGCCUGCACAAAUUUCUUGUGCAGUUCAGGCGUCCAGUCUACCUGCAACCCCAACAAAGACAGAUGCAAAUCACAUACAAAUAUACAUUCAAACAUGUAUUAAGUUCAUUGUCACACUAGCCAAGAGCCAGUGCUAGGGAAAGAAGGAAAAGGGAAAGAACACAAAAGGGGAUAUCUCACCAUGAGGAAACCUUCAAAGUAAUCCAAGGUUCAUGUGAAUCAUACUCAAAUUAUAGACACAUUUACAAUAAGUUGAGUUAGGUAGGUUUAGUGAAAAGGAACCAUUCAUGUUCAAGCAUUUUUCAAAAGUCUUGAAACAGCUCCUACUCCAACAAGAUUGAGAGCUGUUCAGGACAUGUUGACUUGGGUGCAGAAUGGAAUUUUAUAGAAACACAUAAAAAUACAAUAAUGUUUGAGAGGACUCAAAAUUCUCCAACCUCGAAAUAAUUUUCCAAUAAAGUUCAAUUUUCAAAUACUGAAAGACCCCAUUUUGGCCCUUGAAAAACAUUACAAAAAAGAAUUGGCUGGGAGCUAUAUGUUUUCAGGAAUAGUUUGGAAUUCUAGAAUUAAAGGGGGCAAAUAAGUAGAGGAAGUUGGAAAAUUGUCAAGAACAAAUUACUUCCUUUUCUCUACAUAUGUUUUAUACAGAAAGGGAGGGGGAGCCUCAGGUCUGCAUCACAUUUAAAAAAGAAAGGUAAACAAAAGCUUAGACCCUGCUUGGUAAUUAUUUUUAAAAACAGUUUUACGUUCUCUAAAACAAAAAAAAUGGGAAAAUAUGUUUGACAACUAGAAAAUAGAAAACGGUUUUCUAUUCUUAAAAAUAAAAAACACAGUGUUUUAAGAGUUUUCAAAAUUUGUUUUUUAGAACUGUUUUAAAAAACACUUACCAAACAGAGUCUGAAUUUACUAAUGUAGAGUUUUACACUAAUUCGAAGUCAUUCAUAGUAAUUUUAGUCUUUUUCUUUUUUUGGGGCAGAUAAUAAUCAUGCUACACUCUAACAUAACAUGAGGUUAGAACUCCUGGUCUAUUAUUCUAAGGUCUCUCUGGAAGCCCCUGAAUGCCAUUAGACAAAUGGGUCAUUAGCAUUCUUAGUAUUCUUGAAAUUUGUGAAUAAUUCACAAAUUAAUGAAUUAUCUGGUUAUACAAGAUUAAAUCAAGUUAUUCACUCCUAAUAAAAAGUUGUUCAGAGUUUAAGGUUUCUUGAAAAUUUUUUCCAUAAUUUAAUGGAUCGAAAUACCUUCAUUUUCUUCCGAUUGGCUCUUGUCCCACAAGGACUAUGAACACCAGAUGCCUUUCUGGGGUUUCUAGCAUCACCACCAAACUCACUGAGACUGUCUUUAUUCUGUGGAUGAGGAGACAUAUUACUUUCACUCUUACAGCCAUCAGCUGAAUCAUCUUCCUCUUUGAUAACGCUCUCGCCCAGUCCUUGAGGUGGAGACACCUGAGCAGUAACUUCAGCAACUGAAGUGCCACAUGUAGUUUCGACAGAUUUAGAUUCCCCAUCCUGCUCCCCACUCUCUUUCUCAGUUGAGCAGUUAGUUUGAUCUAGGCAAUCCCCAUCAUCCAAUGAUCUCCCUCCUUGUUUUAAUUGUGGGGUUGAAGGUGCCGGGUAUUUAUCAGUUCCAGCUGACUGCAUAUGGUCAUUUUCAUGGACAUUGGACACAUUCAGUGUUUCUGCUGAGCUUUCAUUCCUUGGUUCUUCAUUUUCCAUUUGGAGCUGCAGCAUGGAAGCCACAGAUUCUUUGACGGGCUUUAGUGAUUCAGGAAGGACACUCCCUCCUGCAUUAAAUGCCUGCUCAGGACAAUAUCAGAGAUUCUCUUUUCUCCAUAUUAGCAUAAUAAUAUAACAGUUAAUCCAAACGAAUUGAAACUAGAAUCUAGACAGACCUUAUGAACUACAUGCUGCCAAAUAUUCCUGAGCUUGUCCUCGGACAGUGGUUUUCGAAGGAACUCAACUGCACCGAGCUGAAACAUUUGAUUGUCAAACACAUCCAUUAACGAUAUAGUGAGGAGAAAAUGCAUACCAGCUCCUAAAGAUUACAAGAACUAAAAUGUUUGAAAUAAGUUUUGUUUGAGCAUAAGAAUUUUUAUAUAGAAUAUAUGGAAUAAAGUUUCAAGAAUUUAAAUCAAAACAGAACAAUGAAAUGCAUAAAAUUAUAGCAAAAUCUGGAACGAGAAGUAUGGAGUCCAGUGCAAGAUUUCUCUUCCCUCCAGGGGUUGUAAAGAAAGAGAUCUAACCAUAUCCAUCCAUAAGAUUUUGUAUUCCUAUGCACAUUGACCUUGGUCGGUAAACUCCUUAUACUCUG